UCGUAGGGCUUUUGUCCUGUCGAGAUAGCGUCCUUGCCUAUUUUUUGGAGCACCGUUCGUUUCCUCAGCAGGCUUGCCUGCUACUGGGGACCCCUCAAACUCUUUGUAAAUACAGUAAUCGUCUGAAAAACAAACAAAAAAUCA
rnacentral:misc_RNA from 1 species